rnacentral:sRNA from 1 species
GCUGGGCACGGUGGCGCAUGCCUGUAACCCCAGCAGCUCUGGAGGCUGAGGCAGAGGAUCAUGAGUUCAAAGCCAGCCUCAGCAAUUUAGCAAGGCUUUAAGCAACUCAGUGAAAGCCUGUCUCUA